AGCUGCAGAGGAGCCAGGCCUGUCCACUGGUCUGGAAAGGAGAAGCCCUGGAGGCCUGCUGUGUCCUGGGGCCCCAACUGUGCCGACAGGGCCCGGCCAGGAGACCCCAGGAUUCAGUGUCUGACUCACAGAACUCAGCAGGGGGUGGGUGUGACCAGGGUAUCCUGAGCAGCUCACUGCCAAGUCAGAGCAGCACCAAACCCUCUCCUGUUGGGCCCUGGGGGUGGCAGUCUGACCGGGGGAGGGGGUUCAGGGACUUGCCUUUAGGAACACCUGUCCAAGGAACUCAUGGUUUUUUACUGUGAGGGUGGAUUUAUUUGGAUAGCUUUGGAGGGACUGAGGGAAACCCUUAAGUGGAGCCUCUGCCUGAAGUGCCCAGUGGGCUCUGACCUGUUCAUACAGCCUGGUGUUGCAGGGACGGGAUGAGGCCGUGUCCUCAAGGGAUCCCUACUGCUGGAGUCCCAAAGUGGAUACGAGAGACAGCCCCACCCUCCCCCGGGGCUCAGAUCACACACCGAGGCAGGGAAUAAUAGUGAGCGCUUACCACCUGCCAGGUUCAGGGCUGAGCGGUCCGGUCCGUAGUCAUUUUUUCCUCCUACUCAUUUGAACCCGACCCUCCUCUGUUGAGAACAGGCUGUGGCUCCCCUUGGAACACAGCACAAACAGACCAGGGUUGGAGUCUUAAUCUCUCCAAGCCCCAGUUUUCUCACCUGCGAAAUGGGGCUCUGUUCAUUCAACCAACCGAGAAUCCACCAGGUACCAAGUUCUUGCUAAGGUAUAGGACCCAUCCCUGCCUCACCUGGAGCCUCUGUAGAGGAGGAGACUGACAGGCGACAAGUCAAUUCACACGUGACUGUGGCUACAAUAGAGGCCUGCCGCUGCUGUGGUGGGACCUGGAGGUCCAGGAAGCCCCUCUGACAAAGGGACUUCUAAGCCGAAAGCUGGAAGAGGAACAGGAGAUCAUGGGGUGGGACUGUAUCAGGGCAAGAGGGGAUGUUGCUGCCAUCACCGCAGAAGAGAUGCUACAUCCUGGGCACAGUGGAGAUGUAUUUGGGAGGUGGAAUCUAGACACUGGAGAGAGAGAGAGAGAACACGAGUGGGGGAGGGACAGAGAGAGAGGGAGACAUAGAA